rnacentral:rRNA from 1 species
UUAAGCGACUAAGCGUACACGGUGGAUGCCCUGGCAGUCAGAGGCGAUGAAGGACGUGCUAAUCUGCGAUAAGCGUCGGUGAGGUGAUAUGAACCGUUAUAACCGGCGAUUUCCGAAUGGGGAAACCCAGUGUGUUUCGACACACUAUCAUUAACUGAAUCCAUAGGUUAAUGAGGCGAACCGGGGGAACUGAAACAUCUAAGUACCCCGAGGAAAAGAAAUCAACCGAGAUUCCCCCAGUAGCGGCGAGCGAACGGGGAGNAGCCCAGAGCCUGAAUCAGUGUGUGUGUUAGUGGAAGCGUCUGGAAAGGCGCGCGAUACAGGGUGACAGCCCCGUACACAAAAAUGCACAUACUGUGAGCUCGAUGAGUAGGGCGGGACACGUGGUAUCCUGUCUGAAUAUGGGGGGACCAUCCUCCAAGGCUAAAUACUCCUGACUGACCGAUAGUGAACCAGUACCGUGAGGGAAAGGCGAAAAGAACCCCGGUGAGGGGAGUGAAAAAGAACCUGAAACCGUGUACGUACAAGCAGUGGGAGCCUCUUUAUGGGGUGACUGCGUACCUUUUGUAUAAUGGGUCAGCGACUUAUAUUCUGUAGCAAGGUUAACCGAAUAGGGGAGCCGAAGGGAAACCGAGUCUUAACUGGGCGUUAAGUUGCAGGGUAUAGACCCGAAACCCGGUGAUCUAGCCAUGGGCAGGUUGAAGGUUGGGUAACACUAACUGGAGGACCGAACCGACUAAUGUUGAAAAAUUAGCGGAUGACUUGUGGCUGGGGGUGAAAGGCCAAUCAAACCGGGAGAUAGCUGGUUCUCCCCGAAAGCUAUUUAGGUAGCGCCUCGUGAAUUCAUCUCCGGGGGUAGAGCACUGUUUCGGCAAGGGGGUCAUCCCGACUUACCAACCCGAUGCAAACUGCGAAUACCGGAGAAUGUUAUCACGGGAGACACACGGCGGGUGCUAACGUCCGUCGUGAAGAGGGAAACAACCCAGACCGCCAGCUAAGGUCCCAAAGUCAUGGUUAAGUGGGAAACGAUGUGGGAAGGCCCAGACAGCCAGGAUGUUGGCUUAGAAGCAGCCAUCAUUUAAAGAAAGCGUAAUAGCUCACUGGUCGAGUCGGCCUGCGCGGAAGAUGUAACGGGGCUAAACCAUGCACCGAAGCUGCGGCAGCGACACUGUGUGUUGUUGGGUAGGGGAGCGUUCUGUAAGCCUGUGAAGGUGUGCUGUGAGGCAUGCUGGAGGUAUCAGAAGUGCGAAUGCUGACAUAAGUAACGAUAAAGCGGGUGAAAAGCCCGCUCGCCGGAAGACCAAGGGUUCCUGUCCAACGUUAAUCGGGGCAGGGUGAGUCGACCCCUAAGGCGAGGCCGAAAGGCGUAGUCGAUGGGAAACAGGUUAAUAUUCCUGUACUUGGUGUUACUGCGAAGGGGGGACGGAGAAGGCUAUGUUGGCCGGGCGACGGUUGUCCCGGUUUAAGCGUGUAGGCUGGUUUUCCAGGCAAAUCCGGAAAAUCAAGGCUGAGGCGUGAUGACGAGGCACUACGGUGCUGAAGCAACAAAUGCCCUGCUUCCAGGAAAAGCCUCUAAGCAUCAGGUAACAUUAAAUCGUACCCCAAACCGACACAGGUGGUCAGGUAGAGAAUACCAAGGCGCUUGAGAGAACUCGGGUGAAGGAACUAGGCAAAAUGGUGCCGUAACUUCGGGAGAAGGCACGCUGAUAUGUAGGUGAAGNUGGAGCUGAAAUCAGUCGAAGAUACCAGCUGGCUGCAACUGUUUAUUAAAAACACAGCACUGUGCAAACACGAAAGUGGACGUAUACGGUGUGACGCCUGCCCGGUGCCGGAAGGUUAAUUGAUGGGGUUAGCGGUAACGCGAAGCUCUUGAUCGAAGCCCCGGUAAACGGCGGCCGUAACUAUAACGGUCCUAAGGUAGCGAAAUUCCUUGUCGGGUAAGUUCCGACCUGCACGAAUGGCGUAAUGAUGGCCAGGCUGUCUCCACCCGAGACUCAGUGAAAUUGAACUCGCUGUGAAGAUGCAGUGUACCCGCGGCAAGACGGAAAGACCCCGUGAACCUUUACUAUAGCUUGACACUGAACAUUGAGCCUUGAUGUGUAGGAUAGGUGGGAGGCUUUGAAGUGUGGACGCCAGUCUGCAUGGAGCCGGCCUUGAAAUACCACCCUUUAAUGUUUGAUGUUCUAACGUUGGCCCCUGANCGGGGUUGCGGACAGUGUCUGGUGGGUAGUUUGACUGGGGCGGUCUCCUCCUAAAGAGUAACGGAGGAGCACGAAGGUUGGCUAAUCCUGGUCGGACAUCAGGAGGUUAGUGCAAUGGCAUAAGCCAGCUUGACUGCGAGCGUGACGGCGCGAGCAGGUGCGAAAGCAGGUCAUAGUGAUCCGGUGGUUCUGAAUGGAAGGGCCAUCGCUCAACGGAUAAAAGGUACUCCGGGGAUAACAGGCUGAUACCGCCCAAGAGUUCAUAUCGACGGCGGUGUUUGGCACCUCGAUGUCGGCUCAUCACAUCCUGGGGCUGAAGUAGGUCCCAAGGGUAUGGCUGUUCGCCAUUUAAAGUGGUACGCGAGCUGGGUUUAGAACGUCGUGAGACAGUUCGGUCCCUAUCUGCCGUGGGCGCUGGAGAACUGAGGGGGGCUGCUCCUAGUACGAGAGGACCGGAGUGGACGCAUCACUGGUGUUCGGGUUGUCAUGCCAAUGGCACUGCCCGGUAGCUAAAUGCGGAAGAGAUAAGUGCUGAAAGCAUCUAAGCACGAAACUUGCCCCGAGAUGAGUUCUCCCUGACUCCUUGAGAGUCCUGAAGGAACGUUGAAGACGACGACGUUGAUAGGCCGGGUGUGUAAGCGCAGCGAUGCGUUGAGCUAACCGGUACUAAUGAACCGUGAGGCUUAACCUU